AACGAACGCUGGCGGCAUGCCUAACACAUGCAAGUCGAACGAUGCCUUCGGGCAUAGUGGCGCACGGGUGCGUAACGCGUGGGAAUCUGCCCUUGGCUUCGGAAUAACAGUUAGAAAUGACUGCUAAUACCGGAUGAUGUCCCCCUGAGAGAGCUUGGGGACCAAAGAUUUAUCGGCCAGGGAUGAGCCCGCGUAGGAUUAGGUAGUUGGUGGGGUAAAGGCCUACCAAGCCGACGAUCCUUAGCUGGUCUGAGAGGAUGAUCAGCCACACUGGGACUGAGACACGGCCCAGACUCCUACGGGAGGCAGCAGUGGGGAAUAUUGGACAAUGGGGGGAAACCUGAUCCAGCAAUGCCGCGUGAGUGAUGAAGGCCUUAGGGUUGUAAAGCUCUUUUACCAGGGAUGAUAAUGACAGUACCUGGAGAAUAAGCUCCGGCUAACUCCGUG
rnacentral:rRNA from 1 species